UUUUCUCUCUAUCCACCAUUCAGUUCCUGUUUUUUUCUAUUUAUUUUUGUGUUAUUCAGUUCUGAUUUUUUUUUUUUUGAGUUUCAUUUCUGAUUUUUCAAUUUCUUCGCUAUAGAUAAUUAGGGAAAUAAAUAGUUGUGUUUACUUCAUUUUUUCAACCAUGCAUUUGUUAUUUAUAGUGGGUUACUUUUCAGUUUCUUCGCUAUAGAGACGAACAUCGAACGAGCCUCGACCUUGAAAAUCAUCGUGUGUAGAUGGAUAUUGAUAGGAGGAAAUUCAUUUUCGUUUUCUUGUGAAUCAGCUCAAAGAAGCCAUCAAGGAAAAUUUUUGAACUACUUAUUAAAUCCAUGAUUUUUUGCUGGAUUCUAAAGGUGGAAAUUGCUCAAGGUGCGAAAAAGGGACACUUUGCUUCGAUUAUACGAGCGUUUUGAAACUUAAACUGGAGCGAAAAAUGUUAAGAGGCUACGCUUCAGGCAUUUUCAAAGCUAUCAUCAGGUCACUUAGUACCAUCAGGUCAUUGAAGAUGGUGCUGUUAAUUCUUGUUGCGAUAUUAUAGUCGUGGGGUUGACGAGAUGCUCCAAAUGGCUCCGGUUAAAGUUUCUUCAUAUGUCAUGAUACCAAGACCAAUGAGGUUGGUUUUUUCUCAGAGAAUUUAAGUUCUAUCAAAUUGUUCAAUUUGUAUCCAAAGUUUUCAAAUACUUGUUAAUCUCUUGUAUUUCGUUCGUGAAAAAAUAUUCAUACAUAUUGACUUUUAAGUGUUUGAAAUUGAUCAUUUACUUGCAUCUUUUUAUAAAAUCUCCAUGCUCAAUUAGAAAGGUGUAAUAUAUAUGUAGCUAAAUUUAUCAUUUUUGUUGAAUAAACGAUAAGUAUUUGAUAGAAAUGUAAAACAUUUCGUUAAAUAUGAGUGUCCUAUUUAUGUCACUACAAAGCGAAGGAAAUAAACUCUCUGAUUGAGGUUGAUUGAGCAUUGAAAUACUGCUCAAUGUUCGAUCGUAUGAGAGCAAAAAAUAUAAAAUGAAUCUAUCUAUAAGUAUUAUGUCAUAUCUCCUUGUCAUAGCUCAUCAGAGACCUGAAAAAUAUUGUUAAAACAAAGUUAUUUAGCUAUUCUUAACUUUUUAUUGUGACUCUAUCUUUCAGUGACUUUAAUGCGAUAGUGUUAUCUUCACUGCUAAAAGGUUUUUGAUUUCAGAUUUUGUAAGAAGAUUCAAAUUUUCUUUUUGGCAUCUCAUUAAUUGUGCAGUCGUGUGAUCUCCUAAAAUCUCAAGUGGAAUCUGUUGGGUUUGAAAUUGAGAUAGCGUCAUGUGGAGGCUAUUAGUUGUAAACCACCGUGGUGAUAAUUCAGACGACAAAGAAAAAACAUACUAAAAAAUAUAUUAUUGAUACUGUUUGGUCAAACGACCUACAUAUCAAAAACUAAUAUUGAAAAAAACAUAAAAUCCAUUGGGAGAAAAUCUCCCUCUAAACGAAACUCUUAAACGACUACAUUGUGGAUGAUACUGUGUUAUUGUAUGAGAAGGGGUCCCCAAAGCCAAGCUCGUGACAAGGAAUUUUUGGUCAUAUCCGUUGGUCUUGCUGUUACGGUGUAGGAUGCUCUGAAAAAGAUGACUAUGUACCUUCCCUUUACUGGUUAUCAUACCAAUUAGCAGAGCGAGUACCCGAGACGAACAGAGAACUAAGUCGAAAGAAAUCCAGUUAGUCCUAAAGUCUUGGAAGAGUCUUCUAUUUACAAAGUUCCAAAACCUUUCCUCUUAGAAAUAGGUUAGCCAAAUAUGAAAAAAAUUUAUAUAUUCCUUUCAAGAAAAGUAAAAGUAAUUAUGGUAUUACUUUUAUUUUCCUUCUAAGAAAGAAUAAAACUUAAAUUUAGUAAGAAAAUCAGGGCAAAAACCCUAACAAAUCUCCCCUUUUUGGCUUGAUUUUCUUGACAUAAUUUGAUUCACCUUCUUCGCAUGUAUGAUCUUCGUUCUUUACAUAAUCUUCAUCACUGCUGCUUGCCAUGCUUAAAAAUAAAAUUUAAAAUAUUAUGGUUAAAAGUGGGUUAAAAAUAAAUAUUUUAUUUUUAUUUUUAAAGAUGCAACAACAAGAUGUUGAAAUAUGCUUAAAACUUUUUCUCCACAUGUAGCUAGACAAAAUUGUCAUUAUCAUCAAAUUAGUUGCAACUUUGACCUAAACAUGUCCUCAAUCUGAAACAUCGGAUCAUUGAACCAUAGACUCUGAUACCACUUGUUGGGUUCGAAAUUGAGAUGGCGUCAUGUGAAAGUUAUUUGUAAACCAUCAUGGUGAAAAUUCAGAAGACAAAGAAAAAACAUACUAAAAAACAUAUUAUUGAUAUUGUUUGUCAAACAACCUACAGUGUUAUUGUAUGAGAAGGGAGGAUCUUCUAAUUAUAGAGUUCCAAACUCUUUCCUCUUAGAAAGAGGUUAGCCAAAUAUAGAAAAUUUUUAUAUUUUCCUUUCAAGAAAAGUAAAAGUAAUUAUGAUAUUACUUUUAUUUUUCUUCUAAAAAAAAAUAAAAUUUAAAUUUGGUAAGAAAAUCAGGACAAAAACCCUAACAAAAUUUCCAUGUUUACUUCAAAAAAUAAAACUACUGAAGUGUUAGUUCCUUAAAACUCAACUGAAAUGAUUUAGAGAGCUUGUAAUGAUAUGAAUUUUGAAACAUCUUAGAUUUCUUCUUAACUUGAGUCAUGAUAAUAAUAACUGCUUGGUAAUUGUGUUAUAGAAGAGAGAAGUUAGCGGAACAUGUUCAAUGGGAAUGACCUUGAAAAAGUUAUAGAUUUUAUACUAGACGAAGAAGGCUAUGUUUCAACAAGAUAUAGUAGAUGGUAUAGUUUGUGGUACUUUAAGCGGAUUAAGGUAUGAAUUGCUCCUCAGUUUGAUAGUAUGAUAACUGUAAUUUGCGUCAUGCGUUUUUGUUCUGUUAGCUUUUCUUUGCAUCACAUUGAAUGUUCUCUUUAAACUCAGUGACAUUCUUUACCGUGGUUAAGACAUAGGAAGUUGAUUUAUAUUUGAAGUAUGUUGCAUAUUGAACUUCAGAUGUUUCUUCAACAGCUCAUGCUAUGAGAUGCUAUUUUCACUGAAGCACAUACAAGUCUUUCUCUCCUUCCUUUCACCAGUAUUUUGACUAAUAAAAUCUUAUAUAUAUACACACUGAAUCAAUCUGGAGUUUUGAUUUAAUUAAUUCACUAAUCCCGCAAUAUGUUAAAUAGUUAAAUGCUAUUGUAGUUCAUUCUAUUAAGUUAUGUAAAGUAUUAAAUAGGUGCAUUCAACUGUCACUGUUUGUUAAAUGUUCUGCUUCUAAUUAGUGCAUUGGUUCUUUUUUAUUACAAGGGAGAGGAAAUGCAAAUUUUUAACAAAAUUAGGAUUUUCAAUUAACAAUAUUCAUGAAGAUAUCAUUCCAGUUAUAUUAUUUUUUUCCUGGGUAGAUUCAAAUGUAAAAAAAAAAAAUUAGAUUCGCGAUACUUUGGGUCCAACUGGGUGUGGUAGAAGUAAGAUCUGUGUACGUCUUACUCUUCUAAGAGCCCACAUGUGGUAUUACAUUAUGUUUUUUGUUGUUGUUGAUUGAUAUUGUGAAAUUGCCAAAUGAAUAUAUCUUGAUCAAGUUAAUUAGGUUUCUUUACUAUUGGCAAUAUGCAUAUUAUAGGUUGAUUUGUUGCUUAUGAUCUCUGAAUUAGUGCAAAGGUCUGUGCGUUUUGAAAAUGAUAAUACAACAACAUACUAAUACCACAAUAACAUACUCAGUGUAAACCCACAACUUGUGGACUGCAGGUUGGGUUUGAAGAGGAUAGUGUAUACUGUGUACACAAACCUCACCCAUACCUUGUGAAGAUAGAGAGGUUGUUUUCUAUGAACUGUCGGCCAAAGUAAUGCAUAUAAAAGAGCAGUCUCAAAAGGAAAUACAAUAGUGAAGAAGUUAUCUUGAAAAUAAUGAAGAAAAGAAUAGUAGCAGUUUUGAAAAUGAUAAUGAACUAGAAAAUCAAAUGUCAGUUGCAAAUUCAGAAGUUCCAUGCCACCAUAAGUACCAUUGUCUAGAUGUUGAG